rnacentral:tRNA from 1 species
GCCCUUUUAACUCAGUGGUAGAGUUACACCAUUUCAAGUUGUAUUGCAUCGGUUCAAAUCCGACAAGGGGCU